rnacentral:rRNA from 2 species
ACGUAGGUCCCGAGCGUUGUCCGGAUUUAUUGGGCGUAAAGCGAGCGCAGGUGGUUUAUUAAGUCUGGUGUAAAAGGCAGUGGCUCAACCAUUGUAUGCAUUGGAAACUGGUAGACUUGAGUGCAGGAGAGGAGAGUGGAAUUCCAUGUGUAGCGGUGAAAUGCGUAGAUAUAUGGAGGAACACCGGUGGCGAAAGCGGCUCUCUGGCCUGUAACUGACACUGAGGCUCGAAAGCGUGGGGAGCAAACAG